rnacentral:rRNA from 1 species
AGCAGUCGCCGCGGGAAUACAGAGGGUGCGAGCGUUAAUCGGAUUUACUGGGCGUAAAGCGUGCGUAGGCGGCUUUUUAAGUCGGAUGUGAAAUCCCUGAGCUUAACUUAGGAAUUGCAUUCGAUACUGGGAAGCUAGAGUAUGGGAGAGGAUGGUAGAAUUCCAGGUGUAGCGGUGAAAUGCGUAGAGAUCUGGAGGAAUACCGAUGGCGAAGGCAGCCAUCUGGCCUAAUACUGACGCUGAGGUACGAAAGCAUGGGGAGCAAACAGGAUUAGAGACCCGAGUAGUCCCUGUCUCUUAUAC